rnacentral:rRNA from 1 species
AUUGAACGCUAGCGGGAUGCCUUACACAUGCAAGUCGAACGAGUGGCGGACGGGUGAGUAAUAUAUCGGAACGUGCCCAGUAGCGGGGGAUAACUACUCGAAACAGUGGCUAAUACCGCAUACUAUUGGAACGGCCGAUAUGGGAUUAGCUAGUGGGUGGGGUAAAGGCUCACCAAGGCGACGAUCCGUAGCUGGUUUGAGAGGAUGACCAGCCACACUGGGACUGAGACACGGCCCAGACUCCUACGGGAGGCAGCAGUGGGGAAUAUUGGACAAUGGGGGAAAGCCUGAUGCAGCCAUGCCGCGUGUAUGAGAAGGCCUUCGGGUUGUAAAGUACUUUUGGCAGAGAGGCGGUAUCUGCAGAAUAAGCACCGGCUAACUACGUGCCAGCAGCCGCGGUAAUAC